rnacentral:rRNA from 1 species
GACAGGGGGGGCAAGCGUUAUUCAUAAGUAAUCGACGUAUAGGGCACGUAGACUUUUAAUAACUUCUGAUAUAAAAUCCCAGCUCUUGUUGGGAAUAUAACAGAAUCAAUAGAUCGGGUUUUAUUUGAGUUAAGGGAAUUUCUAGUGUAGAGGUAAAAUUCACAGAUAUUAGAAAGAACACCGGGUGUGAAAACGCUUAACUAAAACAAACUGACGUUGAGGUGCGAAGGUGUGGGGAGCAAACGGG